GGCCUCUUAGGGUUGGAGCUAGAGAGUUUCCAGUACUCUACCAGUCUCGGCUACGGGAAGAAGAGUCAAGCAGAAGCCUACCCAUUCCAUUCCUAGCUUGGACAAUGGCUAGCGAGUGGAAGGCAAUCUGCUACAAAU